rnacentral:rRNA from 1 species
GACGAACGCUGGCGGCGUGCUUAACACAUGCAAGUCGAACGCUGAAGCUUGGUGCUUGCACUGGGUGGAUGAGUGGCGAACGGGUGAGUAAUACGUGAGUAACCUGCCCUUGACUCUGGGAUAAGCCUGGGAGGCUGGGUCUAAUACUGGAUACGACAUGUCACCGCAUGGUGGUGUGUGGAAAGGGUUUUACUGGUUUUGGAUGGGCUCACGGCCUAUCAGCUUGUUGGUGGGGUAAUGGCUCACCAAGGCGACGACGGGUAGCCGGCCUGAGAGGGUGACCGGCCACACUGGGACUGAGACACGGCCCAGACUCCUACGGGAGGCAGCAGUGGGGAAUAUUGCACAAUGGGCGGAAGCCUGAUGCAGCGACGCCGCGUGAGGGAUGACGGCCUUCGGGUUGUAAACCUCUUUCAGCACGGAAGAAGCGAAAGUGACGGUACGUGCAGAAGAAGCGCCGGCUAACUACGUG